CCUACGGGUGGCAGCAGUGAGGAAUAUUGGUCAAUGGCCGUAAGGCUGAACCAGCCAAGUCGCGUGAAGGAAGAAGGAUCUCUGGUUUGUAAACUUCUUUUAUAGGGGAAUAAAGGUAUCCACGGGUGGAUAUUUGCAUUUACCUUAUGAAUAAGCAUCGGCUAACUCCGUGCCAUCAGCCGCGGUAAUACGGAGGAUGCGAGCGUUAUCCGGAUUUAUUGGGUUUAAAGGGUGCGUAGGUUGUUGUUUAAGUCAGCGGUGAAAGUUUGUGGCUCAACCAUAAAAUUGCCGUUGAUACUGGAAGAGUGGAGGGUGUUGGAGGUAGGCGAAAUGCGUGGUGUAGCGGAGAAAUGCAUAGAUAUCGCGCAGAACUCAGAGUGCGAGGGCAGCUUACUAAGCCAUAACUGACGCUGAAGCACGAAAGCGUGGGGAUCAAACAGGAUUAGAUACCCGGGUAGUC
rnacentral:rRNA from 1 species